rnacentral:sRNA from 1 species
UGAGUUGGGAGGUUUGUUUGAUUUUGUUUUUGGUGGUAGGAGAUAUGUACUUUGAGGGAGUAAGCUUCAUUCAUCUGACAAGUUUAUUUGCCCCGAUAUUUUCAUCCCAUACUUCACAAAGGCAAAGUGUCUUAGGGUCAUCAGGGAGGCCUGCCCUUACACAUGCCUGAUCCCAUCCUUGUUUCCAGCUGUGGGUCAGGUUUCAGGCCCUGACUGUGGCACUUCUGCUUCACCUGCCCACUGGGCUUCCCCCUGGCCAGCCUUUAAACACACUGUAUUUUUGACAGCUUCAGCCUGAAGUUGAAAUAGUUUAUGACUCUAAAACUGGGAGACUGCAGGGCUUAACUGAAGAUAUCAUACACGUAAGAGAUACAUGCACAAUCUCAAAUGGAAUUUGAGAGGACAGAAGGGAAGAAUCAGUCUUCAGCUCCUCCCUGAAUUACGUGUCGCAAUCUGAGUCUAAUAAAUGUGUGUGCACAUCAACAUGUACAGAGGGCUGUCAUGGGUGCUGUUCGAAACUUUGGAACUCUAGAUAGAAAAUAUCUCUUGGCACUUAAUCUGCUACUAAUUUUUGCUGUUAAAUCAGAUGGAUCAAACUUUGUGUUUAAUAGCUAAAUGUUGAAUCUGAAAUGGUAAUUACUGAAUUAUAAUUUUAAAAAGUCUCAAAGUCAGCAUUUUGGAAGUGGUACUUUCAUAGAUUUUAAAUUCCAUAAUGUGCCUUAUCUUUUCAUUGCAGGAUGACAGACCAAAGUUAAACAAGCCUCCGGAAACUCUUAUCACUACUAUUGAUUCUAGUUCCAGUUGGUGGACCAACUGGGUGAUCCCUGCCAUCUCUGCAGUGGCCGUCGCCUUGAUGUAUCGCCUGUACAUGGCGGAGGACUGAACACCUCCUCAGAAGUCAGCGCAGGAAAAGCCUGCUUUGGACACGGGAAAAAAGAAGCCAUUGCUAACUACUUCAACUGACAGAAACCUUCACUUGAAAACAAUGAUUUUAAUAUAUCUCUUUCUCUUUCUUCCGACAUUAGAAACACAACAAAAAGAACUGUCCUUUCUGCGCUUGAAUUUUUCGAGUGUGCCUUUUUAUUCAUCUACUUUAUUUUGAUGUUUCCUUAAUGUGUAAUUUACUUAUUAUAAGCAUGAUCUUUUAAAAAUAUAUUUGGCUUUUAAAGUAU